UGCAGCAGGCGCGAAAACUUUACACUGCACGACAGUGCGAUAAGGGAACUCCGAGUGCGAGGGCAUAUAGUCCUCGCUUUUCUACACCGUAGGGAGGUGUACGAAUAAGGGCUGGGCAAGACCGGUGCCAGCCGCCGCGGUAAUACCGGCAGCCCGAGUGAUGGCCGCUAUUAUUGGGCCUAAAGCGUCCGUAGCCAGCCAGACAGGUCCGUCGGGAAAUCCACUCGCUCAACGAGUGGGCGCCCGGCGGAAACCAGUUGGCUUGGGGCCGGAAGACUCGAGGGGUACGUCCGGGGUAGGAGUGAAAUCCUGUAAUCCUGGACGGACCACCAAGGCGAAAGCACCUUUGAAAAGCGACCCAUUAGCACGUCUUUUCCCGA
rnacentral:rRNA from 1 species